rnacentral:rRNA from 1 species
GACGAACGCGGCGGCGUGCUUAACACAUGCAAGUCGAACGAAGCUGCCUGGAGGAAGUUUUCGGAUGGAAUUUAGGUAGACUUAGUGGCGGACGGGUGAGUAACGCGUGGAUAACCUGCCUUAUACAGGGGGAUAACGGAGAGAAAUUUCCGCUAACACCGCAUAAGACCACAGCACCGCAUGGUGCAGGGGUAAAAUAUUUAUAGGUAUAAGAUGGAUCCGCGUCCGAUUAGCUAGUUGGUGAGGUAAAGGCCCACCAAGGCGACGAUCGGUAGCCGGCCUGAGAGGGUGAACGGCCACAUUGGGACUGAGACACGGCCCAAACUCCUACGGGAGGCAGCAGUGGGGAAUAUUGGACAAUGGGGGAAACCCUGAUCCAGCGACGCCGCGUGAGUGAAGAAGUAUUUCGGUAUGUAAAGCUCUAUCAGCAGGGAAGAAAAUGACGGUACCUGACUAAGAAGCCCCGGCUAACUACGUGCCAGCAGCCGCGGUAAUACGUAGGGGGCAAGCGUUAUCCGGAUUUACUGGGUGUAAAGGGAGCGCAGACGGCAAUGCAAGUCUGAAGUGAAAGGCGUGGGCUCAACCCAUGAACUGCUUUGGAAACUGUAUAGCUUGAGUGUCGGAGGGGUAAGCGGAAUUCCUAGUGUAGCGGUGAAAUGCGUAGAUAUUAGGAGGAACACCGGAGGCGAAGGCGGCUUACUGGACGACAACUGACGUUGAGGCUCGAAGGCGUGAGGAGCAAACAGG